rnacentral:pre_miRNA from 7 species
GGGUCCUGUACUGAGCUGCCCCGAGGUCCUUCACUGUGCUCAGCUCGGGGCAGCUCAGUACAGGAUGC